rnacentral:rRNA from 1 species
GAUGAACGCUGGCGGCGUGCCUAAUACAUGCAAGUCGAGCGAACAGACGAGGAGCUUGCUCCUCUGACGUUAGCGGCGGACGGGUGAGUAACACGUGGAUAACCUACCUAUAAGACUGGGAUAACUUCGGGAAACCGGAGCUAAUACCGGAUAAUAUAUUGUACCGCAUGGAUCAAUAGUGAAAGACGGUUUUGCUGUCACUUAGAGAUGGUUUCGCGCCGCAUUAGCUAGUUGGUAAGGUAACGGCUUACCAAGGCGACGAUGCGUAGCCGACCUGAGAGGGUGAUCGGCCACACUGGAACUGAGACACGGUCCAGACUCCUACGGGAGGCAGCAGUAGGGAAUCUUCCGCAAUGGGCGAAAGCCUGACGGAGCAACGCCGCGUGAGUGAUGAAGGUCUUCGGAUCGUAAAACUCUGUUAUUAGGGAAGAACAAAUGUGUAAGUAACUAUGCACGUCUUGACGGUACCUAAUCAGAAAGCCACGGCUAACUACGUG